GUGAAGGAGAAGGGGACAGGGAGAUCCACUCACCAAGAUUGGAAGUGAUCUCCCCUGCGCCUAUGGCUUCUACAAACUGGCAAUGCCUGAAUCAAUGUCUGUGGUCCAAAACUUUCUCCCAAGCUCCAUAUUGAAAGAUCCAACUGCCUGUGUGGCACCUCUACUGAGAAGACUCACAGGAGAAAACCAGCCACCAUGUCUUGGGGACACUCAAGCAACUCGUGGAGAAGUCCACACAGCGACAAACUGAGUUCUCCUGCCAACACCCAGCACCAGCUCACCGGCCAUGUGGCUGAGCCACCUUGAAAAUGGAUCAUCCAGCCCAAUUCCAGCCGUCAGUUGAUUUCAGCCUUGACUGACAUCUUGACUACAUGUAUACUUACAUGAGAUCCUGAGCCAUACCUACCCAGAGAAGCCACUCGCACAUUCCAGACAUAUAAAAAAUGUACUACAGGUGGUGGCCUGAAACUGCUGACCAACGCUGCCCGUAAUUUAUUGAAGUCAUGAACAAACGACCACGCUGGGUGGGCAGGAAACGAUGAAGAUAAAGCCAUAUGUGCUGAGCUUUCUAUUGGGAUCAAAUAAAAUGUACA